CCUAAAAUCUAGCCUACACAAUCCGCAUGUUUACUCCCCCAGUUUUUGUAUAAUAAACCAUUUUAACCUUCUAGUAAAGGCGAUUGAAAAAUUUCUAAGCGCUUCAGAUUAAGUACCGCAAGGGAAUGAUGAAAUAGUUAUGAAACAGCCCUAAAGCCCCCUAAAUAGCAGAGACACACCCUCGUACCUUUUGCAUCAUGGUCUAGCUAGUCUACCCAAGCAAAAAGAAACUUUUAGUUUGACCUCCCGAAACUAAGCGAGCUACUUCAAAACAGCCCUAUGGGGCCAACCCGUCUCUGUUGCAAAAGAGUGGGAAGAUUAUCAAGUAGAGGUGACAAGCCUACCGAGCCUAGAAAUAGCUGGUUAUUCAGGAAAAGAGUUUAAGCUCUACCUUAAGUUUUUUAUUUAUACUUAAAAUUCCCCUAGACUUAAGAGCUAUUCAAAUAAGGCACAGCUUAUUUGAAACAGGAUACAACCUAAAACACUGGGUAAAUAAAGGUAUCACCAGUCAAGUGGGCCUAAAAGCAGCCAUCUUCCAAAAAGCGUUAAAGCUUGGCACCUAAUAUACCUCUAAUUUAUUAAACAACUCUCAACCCUUCAUUACUACUGAAUUAUUUUAUACUAAUAUAAAAGAUAUAAUGCUAGAACUAGUAACAAGAAAUUGCUUUUCUCCAAAAUGUAUAUAUAACCCAAAAUGGACUUACCAUUGGAAAUUAACGUAAAUGAUAAAAUUAUAGCAACACAAGACCAGAAUACCCUAUAACUUCCCCCCCCCCACGUUAACCUAACACCAGAACAUUAAAGGAAAGAUUAAAAGAGAAAGAAGGAACUCGGCAAACCCAAGCCCCGCCUGUUUACCAAAAACAUCGCCUCUUGACAAAACAUAAGAGGUCCAGCCUGCCCAGUGACAAAAUUCAACGGCCGCGGUACCCUAACCGUGCAAAGGUAGCAUAAUCACUUGUUCUUUAAAUACGGACUUGUAUCAACGGCAUCACGAGGGCUUCACUGUCUCCUUUCUCUAAUCAGUGAAACUGAUCUUCCCGUGAAGAAGCGGGAAUAAACCUAUUAGACGAGAAGACCCCAUGGAGCUUUAAAUUUACUAUACACCUCUACGCACUUAAAUCAUCAUAGCCUAAGAUGCCUGUAUCUUAACUUUAGGUUGGGGUGACCGCGGAGCAAAACUUAACCUCCACAACAAAAAGGCUUCGCCUUUAUCUAAGAACCACAAUUCUAAGAAUCAAUAAAUUGAUGUUAAAUGAUCCAAAUACUUGAUCAAUGAACCAAGUUACCCUGGGGAUAACAGCGCAAUCUGCUUCGAGAGCUCUUAUCGACAAGCAGGUUUACGACCUCGAUGUUGGAUCAGGGUAUCCUAGUGGUGCAACCGC
rnacentral:rRNA from 1 species